rnacentral:rRNA from 1 species
UGCCAGCCGCCGCGGUAAUACGGAGGGGACUAGCGUUGUUCGGAAUUACUGGGCGUAAAGCGCACGUAGGCGGAUCAGAAAGUAUGGGGUGAAAUCCCAGGGCUCAACCCUGGAACUGCCUCAUAAACUCCUGGUCUAGAGUUCGAGAGAGGUGAGUGGAAUUCCGAGUGUAGAGGUGAAAUUCGUAGAUAUUGGAAGGAACACCAGUGGCGAAGGCGACUUCCUGGGCCAAUACUGACGCUGAGGUGCGAAAGCGUGGGGAGCAAACAGGAUUAGAUA